AUGUGCACAGGACUUGGCAGCCCUAUCUUGUGCUCCUCAGUGAAACUGGCAUUGUGGGCAUCAGCGACGGAUGCUGACUCAGGUGAUGUGUGGUAUGCAGGCCUGUGUAUUGGGGAAGCCUGUAUCAGAGUAGAAAAUUUGUUACAGUAGUAAUACAAACACAUCUGCAAAUAAAAGUAAAGCAAAUGGUUCGUGAUUGGUCUUAAACAUUGCCAAGAAAAAUGGGAUUUUUGAAACUGAAGAAUACAAUGAAAAUGUUUUUUUUUUUUUUCUGUAUGGUGCCGCUCAGCAUGUUAGAGAUGCCGCACACCAGUGGGAGCAUCUGUAGGGACUUGGUACGGACCUUGAGCAGUGGCUAAGACAUGCAGGCAGCUGUGUGGAUCAUCAGCAUUCCUAAAGGAUCUGAGCAACUUCCCAUGUAGCAAAACUGCCAAUGCAUGAUCCUUCCUGGGUUUGCAGCAUCCUCCAGCUUGUCUUUUUCCACAGUCUGCUAUUAUAAAGAAGAUCACCUUGAGGAUGACACUUGAGCCUUUUAAGAACACCCUGAAAAUCUUCAGCC